rnacentral:misc_RNA from 1 species
AAACACCUCAAGGGUCUUGCCCUUUCCAACGUAAAGGCAGCCCCAGCUAUAAACAUGAAACACCAACAACCAAAAAAGAGGUUAUAUAUCUUACAGUUCUUAAACCCUUUUUUUUUUUCUGAACCUGAGUUUUUACACUGGACCGUAGUUAUGUGGCUGAUGCUGAGGAAGCCUGAAGCAAACCUGGGAAGCCGGAGACCGAACCGCCACGCCGUGCCAACAAAUACCACCCCUGCACAUUUCGUGGACAUGAAUAUGAUCCCGCGAAAUUGCGUAAGUAACUUUUCGAGACACGUCCCAAGUGAGCGAACCAAUCAAGAUUAAACCCACUAGAGUGGUGGACAAAAUCAACACAAAUCCACCGCUGAAACUCCGCCCAGUCACCAACCCAUACGCCUUAAUCCCCGUGAUCGCUGCCACGUAGAUCGUAGUUAGAUUCGCUAUCACUGCAUCCGACAGCGCCAUCUCCCUCCCUUCCUCUAUCUAAUCUAUAAGCCUAGCUCUAUCUUUUCUUAUCAAAAUUGUGAUAAUUUUCCAAUGGAAGUGUGUGUGGUUGUUCAGAGUAGUAAGCAGAAACCUUAAAGCUGGAGGGAGGGAUUGGAAGGGUGGAUUUAUGGGGUGGUAUUGGAAAUGUCGGGU